ACAGAGGGCGCGAGCGUUGUCCGGAAUCACUGGGCGUAAAGGGCGCGUAGGCGGGUUCGCAAGUCGGUCGUGAAAGCCCCGGGCUCAACCCGGGAGAGUCGGCCGAGACUGCGGGUCUUGAGGGGCGCAGAGGAGACUGGAAUUCCCGGUGUAGCGGUGAAAUGUGUAGAGAUCGGGAGGAACACCGGUGGCGAAGGCGGGUCUCUGGGCGCACCCUGACGCUGAGGCGCGAAGGCGUGGGGAGCAAACGGGA
rnacentral:rRNA from 1 species